CGCGUAGACGGUUUUGUAAGUCAGACGUGAAAUCCCUGGGCUCAACCUGGGAACUGCAUUUGAUACUGCAUGGCUAGAGUAUGGAAGAGGGAAGUGGAAUUUCCGGUGUAGCGGUGAAAUGCGUAGAUAUCGGAAGGAACACCAGUGGCGAAAGCGACUUCCUGGUCCAAUACUGACGUUCAUGUGCGAAAGCGUGGGGAGCAAACAGGAUUAGAUACCCUGGUAGUCCACGCCAUAAACGAUGACAACUAGAUGUUGGGAGGGUCUGCCUCUCGGUGUCGCAGCUAACGCGUUAAGUUGUCCGCCUGGGGAGUACGGCCGCAAGGUUGAA
rnacentral:rRNA from 1 species